AAAUACUGUUGAACUCAUGAGUGAGUGAGUGACAAAAUUAACAAAACUCAUGAUUCUCAAAAAUUCAAGGAAGAUGUGCGAGUUGAGACUAAGACGGAUUUUAGGAGUUUUGAUGACAAAGAAUCAACCAUUGGAAAUAUGGCUAUUUGAACUUGGAUCUCAUUAUUGAUGCAUGCAUGAUGGUGAGCUGAAGAAGAAAACCAUGACAAAAGAAAGUUCCUAGUGUUCAUCAUGCAGCCAUUUUGAAUGCCCAACUGAGAGAGCAAGCCAGUGUGAAAAAUUAUUUCUUGGAAGUUAAACAAAAUCUGCUGUGAAUUAAAGCUUUAAAAGUACAUUUAAAAACAUUCUGAUUCAUCUAUAAGUGAGACUAGAUUGCCUUUGACAGUUGCCAGUGGAAUUCGGAUCUGAAUUGUACCAGUAUUAAUAAAUUGAAGUGAUUUGCCUUAAAAUUACAUUUGUAUAUGGUGUACAUUAAUUACUUCAAGGAGAUAUAAUACACCUGUUUAAACAAUGAGGUCCAUAGCAAAAAAACAUGGAUUUGGAAUUUAGCUCACCUUAUCCAAAGGCUCAAUUGCACAAUUCUGAUAAAAAGAAGUCUCUGGUAUCCAACAAUGCAACAUUUAUAUGUUUGACCGUUUGUCCUCCAUUAACUUUUAACAUUUUCUUUUUUUUUUUCUAACAUUUGGUCAAUGUAAACCACAUUUGGUACAAUGUAUCUCUGCUUAAAAGGAAUAAAGCUUAUUCAAAUAAA